rnacentral:rRNA from 1 species
GACGAACGCUGGCGGCGUGCUUAACACAUGCCAGUCGAACGGAAAGGCCCGGCUUUUGUGGGUUGCUCGUUUGGCGAACGGGGGAGUAACACGUGAGUAACCUGCCCUUGACUUUCGGAUAACUUCAGGAAACUGGGGCUAAUACCGGGUAGGAGCUCCUGCUGCAUGGUGUGGGUUGGAAAGUUUCGGCGUUGGGGGGAGGUCUCGCUGCGUCACGGCUUGUUGGUGGGGUUGUGGCUUACCAAGGCUUUGACGGGUAGCCGGCCUGAGAGGGUGAGCGGCGACACUGGGACUGAGGGACGGCCCAGACUGCUAAUGGAGGGAGAAGGGGGGAAGAUUGCAGAAGGGGCGGAGGGCUGGUGAAGAAACGCCGCGUGCGGGAUGACUGCGUUCGGGGGGUAAACCGCUUUCGCAUGUGACGAAGCGUGAGUGACGGUAAUGGGUAAAGAAGCACCGGCUAACUACGUG